UAACGGAAGGCAAACUGCCGUUAUCUGCUUCCCCAAUUUCAUUCUGUUUCUCUCGUUUAUCUCUCCAGAUCACCAAAGAAUCCAUAAUCGCUGUGCCUCCCGAUUGCAGUUUCUCUCUCCAACAAUGAAUGGAGAUGGAGCCAAAGAUCAUAAUCAAGAGUGCUGGAGGUGAGUAGAGUGACCAAGGUUGUGAAACGAGGGAAGCAAUUGUAUGACGCUUCAUAGUGGUGGUGGGUGACAAGAGAGGUUUAGUGGGUGUGGGUGUCGACCGGGAAGGCCAUCACCAACUCCAGUUUCCUGACGGCACGCCCAAUUCGCACCGCCGAACCAAUAGACCCCGAAUCGAAAUCCGGAGGUAACCUUUUCUGUUUUUAGUGGAUACCUCUGAUCUCAAUUUGUCCAGCUCAUCUACAUAUGUUGAUCAAAUUUCUAUCCAGCCAUUCUUCUUCCUUUGCAUGUUUAAUUUCCAGGCUACAUGAGUUGAAGACCUCAAAUCCUUAGUGACUUGGUCAUAUUAAGAUUGUGUGGUGUUCUGUUUUCAAGUUGAGGAAAACUGAUAGAGUUUUUCACAUCGAGUUUCUGAAUGGAUGUGAAUGCCAAUUAUAUAAUGAUAAUCAAGACACUGUGACAGUUGAUGUGUAGGCAUCUAGGCAAGGAAGCUUUUUUUGGUUUGAAGGUCUGGGAAGGGGAAAUUCAUGUAUCAGUAAGCAGGUCGUGUGCAUUCCAUUGCUCUAAUAUCAAAGAGAAAUGUGGCUUCGGGGUUGUGGUGAGAACGGAAAGCUUGGGUUAGGAAGCUCCUGUGAUGAACCUGAACCAAUUUUGCCAGACUCCGUAGAGGGUUGUGAUGAACAUGACACAAUGAUUGUAAUUACAUCCUUUCUGUGGUUUGGCUUCAGUUUCUAUCCCAUGGCUUUCAUGCUUUUGUAUAUUGCUUUUAGUUUCAUUCAUCCAUCAGAAUAUGAAUACUCCAGCCAAGAGAAAGAAACAAAAAUAGAGGUGUUGCUCUUCUGCACUAAUUCAAGUGAAUGAAUUGCAAGAAUUGAAGAGGGAUGGUUUCCACGAAAUAGUUGACUAAUGUAGAGAUUGACAUUUAUCUUCUUUUCCUUUGUCAUGGUGGAUUGUGAAGGUAAAUUAACUUUGUCUGAUUUUGUGGUUUUUCAGUUCGAAAUUGAGAUGAUAUUUUAUUUAUGUGAUUGUAUAUCAUGCAAUCAAAGUGACAAUUCAGUAAAA